CUCCAAGAGCUCCGUCGGUCCUUGCUGAGCAGUAGUGCCCAGUGGAAGGACACAAACUUAAAAACUGUUCCUGACAUCAGUAACAUGUUUUACAAAUAUCACAUGUGGAGUCACUGUCGAUCUUUACGUCCUCCUCCUCUGCGCACUCAAAGGCGACAAGAUGAUUCGGUUUGUCUCCGAGGAGAUUUCACUUUCAACCGUACGUAUGCGCGGAGACAGUUUGGUGUGGAAGAACGUUAAGAACAGUUGACCUAACCUCGACCCCGUCAAACAACUUUGGGAUGAACUACAAUCUCGACUGGUAAACAACUGAAAUUAUGUGGUUGUGUGCACACCCCCUUAUAACUGGACAUGUGGCUGUGUUCAAAAUGAAGCAAUAACAAAGAAAAUCUCUCAAUCACAGAUGGGAAAACGUGUUUAGUCUGCUAAAAUAAACGCUGAACUUUUUGGCCAUAAUUCCAAAAGGUAUGUUUGGUCCAAACACAGCACCGCUGUUUUUCUUCAGCCAGACCUGCUGUUAAGUAGAAGUAAACAUCCUUGUGUAAAAGCAGACAAACUGAUCGACCUACCUUUACUUCACAUUCACUGCCAUUGACGGCUGUUGAAUUCAAAUAUCCAUAAAGGACUGGCAGUGAAUGAGUUUUAAGUAAAAU